rnacentral:rRNA from 1 species
UACAGAGGUCUCAAGCGUUGUUCGGAUUCAUUGGGCGUAAAGGGCGCGUAGGCGGGCCCGCAAGUCCGGGGUGAAAUCCUCCGGCUCAACCGGAGAACAGCCCUGGAUACUGCGGGCCUCGAGGGAGGUAGGGGUCGACGGAACUUCGGGUGGAGCGGUGAAAUGCGUAGAUAUCCGAAGGAACGCCGGUGGCGAAAGCGGUCGACUGGACCUCUGCUGACGCUGAGGCGCGAAAGCCAGGGGAGCGAACAGG